GAUUCGUUACGUCCAACCUGUUCGGUAGACGCGGUUAAACUGUCACAAGUUGCGCGGCGGUCGACAGUGAGAUACGCGACUUGCAUAUCCUUGCCCUGUACAUCGCCGAUAAACGAUGCAUCGAUAUUUCGAUUGCGGCUACGUAUACAUAGCAGUAUAAUAACUUGGCGCCUGCUCCAGGUGCGUCAUGAGCUUCCUACCUGCGGGGGUGGAGGUGGGGGUGAAGGCCUUAAAGUUUAAUCAUUUGUCAAUGUAUUAGAGCUGGUUCGAGUCCUCCAAAUGACUGAUCUCCGGUUUUAACUUAUAGCUGCCUUAUCAAUCACGUGAAAUGAGAAAGAAUGCUUGUAUUCACUGUUGUUAGUUUAAAUGGAACUAAGACUACGUUUUUUAUCGUGGAGAGCGGAUGUCGCGAUGCAACUCAUGAUUCCGAGUCUUUUGGUGAGCGAACAGUUGCGAGAACACAGUCAACUACCAGGACCGAUAUAAGCUGAAUAGUAGAGCGAUAAGAAAGCAACCACAGACGAGGUUAUUGAGUGUGUUCACUACCGUAGACCAUUGUUAUAUUUAGUAAAAAAUUUCUUUCGUACUACUGGAAAGUAUUCGGAGAUUCCAGAAGUAUAUCUUUUAGUGAGAAAGAAAUUUAGAUGAAAUUUGAAGCCUAUAGGACUAAAUUACUCCACGCUUCCUAUUACUUCAUAUUUAAUUACUGCCUCAAGUUUUUUAAUCAUGCAUCACUUAGUAUACCUUUCAUGGGUAUCACUUUACCUUUAAACUUAU